ensembl:lncRNA
ACAAUGUCUAAGGACCCAUACAUGUUCUGUGUCGCUUCGACUGGAUUGCCACUUGACGGAUGCAUGUGAACAAAAGCACCAGGUGCAGAAGGACGCCUUGUUGUUCUUUGCACUCCCCCAGUGGCUAUCAGGCCAGGAGCAACGUGCUCGCGGGAGACAGACGAUACCUCUGAAGCAGAAGGCAAAGUACGGUGGCAAGCCAUUUGGACAGAUGAUACCGGCACACGCGAGCGAUGGCAGAGAGCGGAGGUAAAAGGUAAUGAGAUCAGGCCUGUUUAUCGGGGCUCAAAUUAGAUCGCGGAGACAACGGGAGGGUCCAUGCGGGUCCGUGCGGCGCCCGUGGCGCAAAUCAAGCCCCCUGGACAAGCGUCACGUACAGAGAGAGAGGGUUAGAAACCGACAUUCAUUAAAGCACCAAUGGCAAGAUGAAAGAUGUGUUCGCCCUCUUGCAGUGACAGAAAUGGCAUGUAUGAGCCUAUAGAAGAGAUGUACCUAGCCUCCUAGCUCUGCCAUUGUUGACAGUGUUGACUGAUUUUCAAUGUUCCUGUGUUCUAAUUCAUAGGUGCAUUCCGGUGUAUGUACUGAGGUGUAUGUUUUUUUUGUUAUUGUUUUUUUUUUAAUGUAAAUUCAUAUUUCACAUACCAUUAGUUUAGUUAGUUAGACACUGUUCAUCUUAAAUACUUUAGCUCAAAUUGUCUAGUCAAAGGAAAUAAAUGGGUGAGAUUACGAAUUCAGUUUAGGGUCUGAAAUUAGAGCAGAGAGGUAUCACUAUGUUUCUGUAGGCCAAAUUCAUGUGGGAACAUAAAUAAUAGAGCAAACACAGUCAAAGGAUUAAAAAUACAGAAGAAAACAAGUCUAUCCACUUCACCAUUUGCUUUGCUUUGUCAGUGUGGCAGGAGGCUUAAUAGAAUGAAAGCAGCUCUUGGGGGUGCAACCUUGACAGAGUCCCCUCACCUCUGCAUGUAAAUAUGUCAUAAAUCAGCUAUUUACAACCAAAAUGGAAUGUGUCAAACAUUUACACACAAAAAGCAUAUAGGCAAAGGACUAUAUCUCUGUAAUCAAUUUGACCAUCCGGUAUAGAUACAUUGAUAAUACACAAAGGAAUUAUCUAAUAUACUAUCUAUUCUGUCAUGAACGACACGGAUCACGAUCACUGAGUGCCAUCUCAGGUCAGACGCCUUAAGAUGAGGCGGAAAAUGAAGGCCAUAAAUGCUCUCAGCAAACAAUUAUGACAACGCCCGGGUGACAUGAAGCAGGCAGUGAAUGUUUUUUGUUUGAGAUCUGGGUGGUUGAGAUGAGGGACUCAUGGCCAAGCCAGGGCAGUAGUAAGAAGAACAGGCCUUCCCAAAUGCUCACACGGCAGACCUCAGCCCCCCUUCAUCUGACAAGGCUGUUUAUGCGCACUGACACGCUUGCUUUCCAGCCAUAAUUUGUUAACCGUAACAAACGCCACAGCACAUAUUUACCACCACCACAGUCACAAGCCAAGGCAGAAUGGCAUACCACAUUCUCUGUCUGUUUCUUUUCUUCUUUUUUUUUUUUUAAAUCACGAGUCAUGAAAGUGUGUAGAUUCAGUAGGGGAUGAGCUCAAAUCCAGGUUUGGUGUCCUCAAUGACGUGGUCAUGACGUGGACACAGAGGACCGGGCAGUAAUCUCUGGCCGUAAAUGAGCUGGGAUUGAGUGAAUGCGGAUAUGAGAGGUGGCAUGUAUGCGUGGGCAUGGCAUCCACAUUCAUCCACAGGCAUGGUGAGACGGAGGCGAACACGGCCAUUCAGAUUAAUUUGUUUGGACCUCUCUCAGUCUCUGUUACCUUCUUUCUUGCUUGCUUUUUUCUUUCUUCCCUUCCUUCCCUCUAUCCUUUAACCCUUACCAUGGUUUGCACUUAAAUGUAUGAUUGACUUGUGGAAGGCAGUAUGGCGUAUUGGCCUUGUAAAAUAUAAACAGACUGUUUUAUCAAUGAUGUGUUUACCUCAUAAAAUAUAAAAUAUUUUACAAAGUUGCAUAAACACUUGAGUGCAUA